CUAGGCUAAAGCUCUCAGGGUGCCGUCCUCGCAAGGGGCCGGAGAAUUGGGAAGCCGGUGCAAGUCCGGCGCUGCCCCCGCAACGGUAAGGAGGGGUGGUUGGGCGAUAUGCCACUGGGCCGCGAGGCCUGGGAAGGUAGCCCGAUCACAGGCCAGAUGGCCGUCCACCAAGCCCGGAAACCAGCCAUGAGACAACGUCAGAA
rfam:Roseovarius nubinhibens ISM scf_1099451318306 genomic scaffold, whole genome shotgun sequence.